UAUCCUCUCGAUUUACACUUGGGUUUUACCCAAACAUGACGGUUUCCUGUUUACCACAACAAACGGAGGAGGUUCUCAUACAUAAAUAUGAAACAACGAGUUUUCCUCAUAUUCGUUCGUGAACUUAGACGUGCUCAAAUCUGAAUUAGGUACCUAUAUUUUUACGGUCGCACGAUUUAAAUAAAAUGAUUGUAGUUAUUGUGGCGACGCUAGUUUCCAUAACAAUGGCACAACGGCCGGGUUACAUUGCGGAACCUACCUACCCCAAAUUGGCUAGUAGAUUUCGGAAUGACAACGAAGAAACAACUGCUGCAAUUUUGAACUCUCGUUUAGGGGAAGUAGAUGGUACGACGGAAAAAAUACCUGUUGAUGCCCGUGGUGAUGCAGAUUUGGUUCAUAGAAUAAAGGAAUGGCCUAGGCAAAACAUCCCUUAUUGGUAUCUUAAUGCUGAACACAUUGAAAGACAAAGAAAUCCUCAAGGUGUAUCGCACCAAAACUCUCAAGUGCAACAAAACAGAAUCCCUGCAGAAAAUGUUCAAAGAUUGAUGGAACAACUACCAGUUAAUUCUGCUUUUCGAGAUUAUUAUCAUGACUUGAGGCCAAGAUUUGGUGUAAAUGACGUUGUUCCAAUAUUUGUGCGUCCGAUUCGACCCAUCGAAACCAGACCUUUCUUUGCAGGCCCUCUGCCCUAGAUAUCACUAACUCAUUCAUCAUAUAAAACGCCUACAAGACUGUGAAACCCAUUUUCAUAAGAUCCAAGUUUGAAGGUCACUGGCGACGUAUUUGGAACUUCCGAUUAAAUUCGUGCUCAUUGUUAUCAUUGAAUAGGUUAGUUUUUGUAUUAUUGUAGCAGCUGAGUCAUGAGAUUUUAUUUCUAUUUUUAUAUGAUAUGACACUAAUAAAACCUAUGAUGAUACGUA